CAGCCCUAAACGAUGCGCGUUAGGUGUAUCGGUGACCACGAGUCACCGAGGUGCCGAAGGGAAACCGUGAAACGUGCCGCCUGGGAAGUACGGUCGCAAGGCUGAAACUUAAAGGAAUUGGCGGGGGAGCACCGCAACGGGUGGAGCCUGCGGUUUAAUUGGACUCAACGCCGGGAAGCUCACCGGAUAAGACAGCGGAAUGAUUGCCGGGCUGAAGACCCUGCAUGACCAGCUGAGAGGAGGUGCAUGGCGUAGUCGUGU
rnacentral:rRNA from 1 species